rnacentral:ncRNA from 1 species
AGCGGGGAGCUUGUGUGACAGGCUGAGAGGAAAGUGUUACUUUCGACCUAUGACCUGAUUUGGAUAAUGCCAACGUAGGGAAAUGAUAU